AAUAGAUACCCCGGUAGUCCACGCCGUAAACGAUGAGUGCUAAGUGUUAGGGGGUUUCCGCCCCUUAGUGCUGCAGCUAACGCAUUAAGCACUCCGCCUGGGGAGUACGGUCGCAAGACUGAAACUCAAAGGAAUUGACGGGGGCCCGCACAAGCGGUGGAGCAUGUGGUUUAAUUCGAAGCAACGCGAAGAACCUUACCAGGUCUUGACAUCCCAUUGACCACUAUGGAGACAUAGUUUUCCCUUCGGGGACAACGGUGACAGGUGGUGCAUGGUUGUCGUCAGCUCGUGUCGUGAGAUGUUGGGUUAAGUCCCGCAACGAGCGCAACCCUUGUUCUUAGUUGCCAUCAUUUAGUUGGGCACUCUAAGGAGACUGCCGGUGACAAACCGGAGGAAGGUGGGGAUGACGUCGAAUCAUCAUGCCCCUUAUGACCUGGGCUACACACGUGCUACAAUGGACGGUACAAACGGUUGCCAACCCGCGAGGGGAGCUAAUCCGAUAAACCGUUCUCAGUUCGGAUUGUAGGCUGCAACUCGCCUACA
rnacentral:rRNA from 1 species